UUUUUUUUUUUUUUUUUGUGAGGGUAGGGAAAAAAUAAAAGGGGAACUGGAAGGAAAAGGGGACGGGAAUCAAUCCCCUGAAGAGAAAAGAUUUUUGCUCCUCCUCCUUCUCUUAGUUGCUCAUUUUCUGUUGCUGUCGUUGCCGUUUGUUUGACAGCUUCCUGGCUUCUGGAGGAGUGGUAAUGCUUCUUUCUUUCCGGUUUCCUGGUUAAUGUGCCCCUGCAUCCUGCCAACAGACUUUCGUCCUCAGGUUUGCAUGGAGACCUCGCGUUACUGUGGGUUGGCUUAGGUGUGUAGCUUAGCAGGGUGAUAAGGAACGUUUGUGUAGAGGUGGUGGUGGUGGUGGUGUUUGGAUUAAAACUGAGUCGCUUACAGAAAGCUUCCUCCACCCCUACCAAUGGUUUUGCAUUCAUUAAACCCCUACUGUUGGGAGGGGGAGGGAAUCUGUCUCUAGUCAGAAUGGAGUAGGCUAUUCCUUGCUAAAUGACCUCAAUUAUACAGAUGCGCGGUUUUGCUGCUGUGGAUGGCUUAGGUUUUCGGGUCCUGUGAGAAGUAGGCAUUGAAGUAGCACUGGUAGAUUUGUGGUUUGCAUUGCCCACCCCCCAGUAUUAGUCGAACAGUGUAGUCCUCUACAACCAAGUUCUGUUUAUUUUCUACAAAUGUUGCAUUUUUCAGUGAGUUGUGGUGCUAUGGAAUAACAUGGCAGUCGGUCUCUUGUUGAAAAGUAAAUGAUUUUGCUUUAGAAUAUCCUAUGAAGAAACUGCAGGAGACUUAAUACUUUAACACUAUGGUUGUGUAAUACUUGGAUGCUUUUUGCUAGUUCACAUUAUGGUUUUGUUUUGGGAAAUGUUGUAUACUCCAUAAUUCUGCAUAAGUGUAGUCUCAGAUCAGUUUAGUAAUUUUUUUUCUCCUGAAUGUGAAAUAUGGGUGACUGAGAAACCUAGAUCUAAAAAUUCUGUUUGAUUACCCAUGUGUGCUCUAGAAUGUUCCUUUAGAAGUGUUUUGUUUUGGUAUUUUUCAGGACUCCUACAUAAUUGUCUACCUGUGUUUCCUAGAAUUAAAGUUGUGGAUGAGAAGGUUAAAAUUAAAAAAAAAAAAAAAGCUAUUUAAGCACAACAUUGAUUCUAACUUUGAAAUAUCAUGUGCAUAAUGAUCCUUCUGGACUAAAGCAAUAUUAGACAAAAAUGUUGGACUCUCCAGAAAGCUACUUCAGGAAUAUGUUAAAUACUUGCAUGGAAACUUUAAGCUAGAUAUGAUCUGUAAAGUGGAUGUACAUUUUGAAAAACACUGCAAAUGUAAUGAGAACUUGCAAGAAUGUGGUUGGUAAAAUAUUCCUGGGGUUUUUAUAUGUGUAUAUAUAACUCUUCAUUCUUUUAUAUUGGGAGAGUGGUCUGACUGGUAUGUAGUUUGAGACAGAGAUACUAAAUAGAAGCCUUUAUCAUCAGUAUUUGGUGAUACAAUGGAUUUCAGAAUGUUUAUAUUCUUAAAUGUCCUGUGGUUUAAACGGUUUCUCUUUUGAUAUCACUAGUAAAAAGGCUUGAGUAACAGUUCAAACUACCCCUUUGUGUUCUGAUAAGUACUGUAUCAGGUUUGAAGGGAGGCCAGAGAAAACUGAUUUAGGAAUGUCAGAAUGUAUGAAAUAAAUCAACAGCUAGAAAGACACUGCCCAAUUCCAGAAUCUGUUACUUGGUACAAGUAUUGGAGUCCUGUCUCAAGGGUAAACUUAAAAAUCUGUCUUUGAAUAAAAUUAUUAGGAAGAUGAAAGCAGACAGAUUAAAAAAAAAUGGAAUUCUUAUGUGUUUUCUUUAAUAAUAAUAAAAAAGGGGUGAAUAAAGGUAGAGAAGGGACCUAAAUAAGCGUGUGGGAGAGUGGUGAGCUCAAGACUUACCUGUUCUGGUUAGCUUUUGGCAACCAGUGAUGUAGCAAUGACUGCCUCUUACCCAGCUUAUAGUUAGGCAAUGUGGAGUCAGCUGGGGAAAGUGUUGAGGAGAUUUGGGUGAGAACUGGAGGUAUCGAUGGUGGGUAUGUCUGUGUUACUAUGAUCAAGGACAGCAAAGGCACAAAUGCAAAGGAAACCAGGCUCUGUUAGUUUUAGCACAAGUUAGUUCCCUCCCACUAUUAACUAUUUUACGUUUUAACCUUGUGGCUAACGCUAACAUUAACACUGACAAUAUGUAAAAAUGCUUAUUUUAGUGGCAGUAACUACCAUUAUUAGGUGAAAUCGAGGGUGUAUUUGCUUUGUGAAUAGCAUAGUAUGUUGGGGAAUGUGUGCUUGUGCAGUAGGUGUUUAAGAGCAAUUUUUUUCAAAUUAUUGUAAUAAAGAUUUAACUACU